ACUCACGUAUGAGUCAUCUGCUUACGUAGACAGCGAACAGCAAGUUUCUGUCCUAACUUUAGCAUAAAGUCACAUUGAGAAGAAAUACGUGCGCUAGGCAGCUAAUUAUGGUGUUGUGGAUUAUUUCAAACAUUUCCCAGGAAAAGGCAGAAAUGACACGGAGGACCAGGCGCCUGUGAUGAGUCUUAUUUGUCAAAUUCGAAAGCAUCGCCUUUGACAGAAUGAGACCGGCUAUUAGUUACAUUGCAGGUGUUGCCUUGCAGCAUGGAUCUAAUGUCUCAACCUUCUGUCCCAGCGAAAGGGCAGCGUGUCCUUACGAAGCUACGCAAGGGUCUCACGACAACAAAAACCCAACAAAGUGAAGAGAAUGACAGAGCUGAAUCUUACCAGGCCAACGGUAGCAGGUUGUGUUGCCUUUUUUCACCAGUUGACGUCCACCGACUUGGCAGUUAUCUUGAGUUUGACAGUGUAUGCGGCUAAAGGGCCAUGUCUGUCUAUCUGGAUGGUUCAAUCUCUCUGGCGUUUUUCAGAUAUGAAACUCAUGUUUUUUUUGUGUGUGUUUUUUUUUUCUUGUUAGCUAACUGAACUUGUAGUCCCACCCUUUGAAUUCAAAUAAUUUGCAGUUGCUCUCUGGACCAGAUAUGAAGAGGGGCUCCAGAGAGAAAGACCCACACCCAUAAACACAUGUGUUUGGAGGAAGUUGGCUGUGGAGGAACUGGUGAAGUCAGCACGCAGAUGUUAAGGCCUUGAUAUUGUUUCUGCAAGUAACAUGAAAUCAAAAUAACCCAAUUUACUUUUCAAAUGCAUUUCUGGUCUUGCUUUGCAUGAAAAAAGGAAACAAAAUGUGGUCUUUAAACAAAAGGUACAACUUUUCUUUUUUUGGCUAACAUCCCCAUGCCCUCUUUUCAGCUCUUCUCUUUUAACCAUCUGUCUCCAUUCUGAUUAUUGGGGUGAAAAGCGAACAUGACCUUGAGAUUCACCCCAUUUCUCCCUUCCACCCAGCUCUCCUAAAGAUGUCAGGUUGUUUCUGACAGCUGUGAGGUGAGUGCAGCACUAACCUGCGAGGCAAAAGUUGUUAGAUAACAAAUGCAGUCAGUCGGAACCGAGUGCUGCUGCCUUACAGGUGCAGCAUCUGCAGAUACCAGAGGUCAGAGAUCAAGCAGUCGGUGGAUUUAUGAACGGAGAGAUAAAUCUCCAGCUGCACCCUGGGGUCCCUCUCACUGCCUCCCUCCUGUGGGAAGGUGUAUCUAGGGUUAGAUGAGGUGCGUUUCCUGCUGACUGACAAGCCUGUCUUGGUGUCUGAUCUUCAAGGGUUCUGGAGGAAAAGCAAAGAGAGAUGGAAAAAGAAUCGGUUAAGUUAAGCGACGGCACUUUUUUGUUGCACACCUGCUGUGUGCGCAUUUAUUUGUGAAAGUAUGGUAUAUUAGAUUGUGUGUUUCAAAGUCAACAUGAAAAGACAUUCGCAAGCCAUUUCUUCCUCCGUAAUGUGACAGGAAAU
ensembl:lncRNA